AAUUAACCAUAUAAACGCUCGUCUUUUAAAAGAUUUUUGUUCGUUAUUUAAUUAUCUUAAACAUAACCUUAAAAAACUAAACUGGUACAGUACUAAUUUGCUGGCUGUACUACAAGAUUGCGUGGUCAAACAUUUUUGUACAUUAAUAAUGUUACAUUGUUUAAUUAUUAUCUAAAUAUAGUGUUUUAGUGCAGUAAAUUAAUAAAAAACUGUUUUAUUUGUAUGUUGUUACAAUUAAUAAAUUAUAUUUGAAAGUUUAUUGAAAUAAUUAAAUUUAAAGAAUAUCGAACAAUAGGCGAGUACAAUAGACAAUGAAAUAUUUACAGUUUUGGAUUUGCUGCUGUCGAAUGACAAUAUUACCGAAAAACUUAACUUUUUUCUCUUUUGAGAAAAAUAAGUUUUGCUGUAGUGACAUUUUACUUAAAAAGUAAGUCGAUAUAAUGAUGUAAUAUUAGAUGUGUAGUAUAAUUAAGGCCAGAUUUAAAAAAACUCCAGGCUCCAAAAACAUGUAUUGAUGAUCUUUUUUUGGCUAUAGAUUUUUAAUUUAUUUUCCAACUAUUCCAAAAUGAUUAUAAUAUACAGAACAAUAUUGGUAUACUAUAUUUAACAAUUUUUUUUUAGUUUUGAUACCUGCUAUUGUAAGUUAUCAUCUGUAUUAUUAAGUAUGCACUUAUAAGUAAACUAAGAUACUUCAAUAUCAUAAGAUUAAUAUCCUAAUCAUAUUAAGAAACAAAAAAAGAUUGUAAUCAUGAUUUUUUAUUACUGUCUAUCAUAAUAAAGUCAUCUAUCGAAUUAACAUAUAGUUCUUGAACAAACUAAAUUAUAGUUUUUGUACAAUUUUGAUGUCUAUUGGUUUUGUAUACACUUGUCUUAACAUACUACAUUAAUAAGCUUUAAUUUCAUAUCAGAUCAACAUUAGAAUGAAUUGUUAUACUACAAAUACAGUAUUGUAGCUAAAUUUCUCAUUUGAAUUUUCAUCGAACAAUAUUAGAUUGCAAAAAAAUAAAUAAAUCUAAUAGUAAUUGUUAAAUUUUUUAAUUAAAAUAGGGCAAUGUAAUAAAGUAAUACAUGUAGUUAUUAUAGUACUAUUUUUAUGAUGUAAUAUUAGAGGGAGUAGUAAGAAAAUAUCUUAAAAUUUAAGAUAUAAGUAAUUGUUAUUUUAUAUGUUACUUUCAAGUAUUUAAAAAAAAAUUAUAGUAAAAUUAUUAUUUUUAUAGAUAAUAUGUUUACUUCAGUAGAAUUUUGAUAAGGUUAAGAAUAUUGCGUUCCUUGAAAAAGAAAAUUUUACUCAAAAGAAAUAAAUAUUAUAGAUAAUACAAAUAAAUUAUUUGUAGUUGUAUAGCUAAAAGAUUUGAAUGUGGUAGGUUAGACUAGUUAAAGCAAUUAGUUUAAAUUUAAAAGCUGUUAAUUAUUAAAAUAAAUACAUAAAUUCAUUAAAACUUCACAAAUUUUAGUAUUGCCAAUUGGAAUCAAUCUGUUAUAUUUUUAUAAAUAAGUGUUGAAUACAAACUCAAAUUCUUAAAUAAUUUUAAGUCAAAUUUUUUUUUUAAUAGUUCAAAAACCUUAUUAAGUUAAAAAAAUAAUUUCCCUUGAGCCUUAACUUAUCCAGGUUCUACUGUAUUUUAAAAUUGGCAUCAGUGCCGUGCCAAGAAAAGGGCAUAGGAUGAUAUAAGGUUCAUACACUUUGCAAUAUUUAAUUGUUAUAAUUGAUAGUUAUUUAAUAUUAGAGGAUGCUAACAUAUAA